rnacentral:rRNA from 1 species
GACGAACGNNGGCGGCGUGCUUAACACAUGCAAGUCGAACGAAGAGCGAUGGAAGCUUGCUUCUAUCAAUCUUAGUGGCGAACGGGUGAGUAACGCGUAAUCAACCUGCCCUUCAGAGGGGGACAACAGUUGGAAACGACUGCUAAUACCGCAUACGAUCUGACCUCGGCAUCGAGGAUGGAUGAAAGGUGGCCUCUAUUUAUAAGCUAUCACUGAAGGAGGGGAUUGCGUCUGAUUAGCUAGUUGGAGGGGUAACGGCCCACCAAGGCGAUGAUCAGUAGCCGGUCUGAGAGGAUGAACGGCCACAUUGGGACUGAGACACGGCCCAGGCUCCUACGGGAGGCAGCAGUGGGGAAUCUUCCGCAAUGGACGAAAGUCUGACGGAGCAACGCCGCGUGAGUGAUAACGGCCUUCGGGUUGUAAAGCUCUGUUAAUCGGGACGAAAGGCCUUCUUGCGAAUAGUNAGAAGGAUGAC